GAUGAACGCUGGCGGCGUGCCUAAUACAUGCAAGUCGAGCGAACAGACGAGGAGCUUGCUCCUCUGACGUUAGCGGCGGACGGGUGAGUAACACGUGGAUAACCUACCUAUAAGACUGGGAUAACUUCGGGAAACCGGAGCUAAUACCGGAUAAUAUAUUGAACCGCAUGGUUCAAUAGUGAAAGACGGUUUUGCUGUCACUUAUAGAUGGAUCCGCGCCGCAUUGGCUAGUUGGUAAGGUAACGGCUUACCAAGGCAACGAGGCGUAGCCGACCUGAGAGGGUGAUCGGCCACACGGGAACUGAGACACGGUCCAGACUCCUACGGGAGGCAGCAGUAGGGAAUCUUCCGCAAUGGGCGAAAGCCUGACGGAGCAACGCCGCGUGAGUGAUGAAGGUCUUCGGAUCGUAAAACUCUGUUAUUAGGGAAGAACAAAUGUGUAAGUAACUAUGCACGUCUUGACGGUACCUAAUCAGAAAGCCACGGCUAACUACGUG
rnacentral:rRNA from 1 species